UUUACAUGUCUUAUGAAUUUACAUUUCAUGAUUACAUGGUUUUUGUUUGUAAAAACUUGAGUUUUAUUGGCUACAACAGGUUAUAUUAAACCAAUCAUUUAUUAUUUUUACAAUCCAACAAACUAUAUUUUAAUGAAUUUAAAAGAGGUAAUUGGUUUAAUUGUUUGUUUAGCCAUCCUAUGAAUAUAUAUAUUUUUAAAUCAUAUUCGUUUUGGAUUAUUAAUUUAUUUUUUUUAUCUGAUUGAACUUUGUUAUGUAAUAUAUUAAUUAAAAUUUAAAAUUUUUUAUUAUGAUUCAAGCUUAAUCAAGCUCAAGCAUGAAAAAUAUAACUCCAUCAAAUUUAAGUUGAGCUUUGAGCUUUGAUUUUUGAGUUGAACUCAAGCUUGAGUAUAUCAGUAUAUUGAUUCGACUCGACUCGAUUAUACUUUUAGCCAUAAUAUUAUAUAUCUCGAUUUUUCUAUUAUCAAAAGUUUAUAAUUAAAUAUAAAUUUAAAAUUUUUUUAUGUAUUCAUGAAAUCUGAUUAUCAUGAAAGUAAUACAAGUCUCAAAAAUAGAUUUUUUGAUAUGUAUGUUUGUUCUCGAUAAUCCAUUCCGAUAAUUAUGUUGUUUUCUAAAAUGAAUUUUUUAAGACACAACAUAACAUUCAAAAAUCUAUUUUUAAAAAAUAAAACAUGAUCUUUUGGUGUAUAAACUAUUAAAGAUAUUUUUAUCAUUUAUUUAAGGUUAAAAUUGACAUUUGAUAUAUAUAGGUAUAUUUGGAAUAAAAUUUUGGAGAUUUAUAGAAAAAAUUUGAUGGUGUACCUAGAAAUCCCUUUUUUGACACUUGUUUAAUAUUAUUAAAUUAUCAUUUUGCCCUUCCAAUAUUACAAUAUUACUAUUUUAUCUUUUAGUUAAAAUAAAAUAAAAUAUAAAUAAUAAAAAAGAAAUAUAUGAAAAUUAAAAAAUAAAAAGUAAAUCUGCAUAUCUACAAAAAAUCAAAUUUGUAAAAAAAAAUUCUAAACAAAAAAAUAAAAAUCAAAUCCGCAAAUCAUAUUUUCAAAAAGUUAAAUCUAAGAAACAUUUUCAAACCACGAACCUUCACCACCAUCAACCACAACAACGUCACCUAAGCAAUUAAUCCAAAACCAAAUCACCACUUAACCAACAAAAAGACAAACUAAAAAAUAAAACAACAUACGUUAUUUUUUAAGCCACAUAAUCAAAACCGAAAACAAAAAUACAAAACGUAACAUCAUAAACGAUCAAGAAAUAGCAAAAACAAAUAUGGAGAGUUUCGCUUUUGGAGAUAUUUAGGAGGUUCACGAAGAGAGGUCAGAGGCCAAGGGAUAAGGAUAAACAUAAUAGGAGUCAGACUAUCUGAAGAGGUGGAGGCAGGUGUUUUGAUGGGUCUUAAGCCGCGGUUUGGACUGUAAAUUUAAGCGUUUAGAUAUUGAUUUUGAAAUUUUUAAUUUGAAACGGUGAUAAGAAAGUUGAGAAAGGUCUGUGAUGAAAUUUUGGAGUGAAAAGAACUUCAAUAUCGAUGAUCGACGAUGAUCGAUAGAGUGGUUUUUGAUGAUAAAAUAUCGUUUAUUCUUGUUUUAGUAAGAAAGACAAAAGAAAAAAAAAAAAUGCACCUAAAAAUUUUUAGUAAUAUAUAAUUGUAAGUAUAACAAAAAAAAAUUCAGUAACAAUGUCAAACUUUUUAAUAAACUUAAGAAGCAAAUAAAAAAUGUAAAAAAUAAUUUUUUUUUUCAACCGGUUAUCCGAUUGCAAACCGACAACCAUUUGACAUGAUAGGGGAAGCAGGAAGCUCCCCCAUCGGUGAGAUUGCAAGUGAAAGAGAGAAUAUUUGUGGAAGAUCUCCUCUCUCCCAAUUCUCAAAUGCGUUUUUCUUUUUAUCCAUCCCAUGUCACGUAACUCUAUCGCACGAGGCACCUUUUCCCAUCCAAGUGAACUAGCGUACGUGGCAUUUCAUGAUUAGUAGGAACCCCAAAGCCCACGUGCUCUCUAGGGUUGCAUCACGUGGCCAGCUGGUCACAGUACAUACGUAAGUAUAGUUUCUUGUUAAAAGACAAUAAAUAAUGGAGGCUUGGCCUGUCAAAUCCUUAUCCAUAUUCAUAAUUAUUUUUUGUAAGGAACGUUUGGUUGAAAAAAUAAAUAUUUUCUUAACCUUAUUUUUUAUAAUUUAAUUUUUUUAUUUAGUUUAUCAAAAUAUGAUUUUUGAGAUUUUUAAAAUUUUUAAUAAUAUUAAAAAGUGAAAAAAAAUUUAUAUUGUAAAGAAAUUUUAAGAUUUAAAAAAAGUAAAAUAUUUUUUUAUUUAUCUUCACUUAAUUAUUUUUUUAAAUUAUAUAAAUAAUAUUAUUUAUAUUUGAAAUAUAAUAAUUUUUUAUAAAAUAUUAUAAAAAUAAAAUUUUUAAAUAUAUUUUAAACAAAGAUUACUUUUUUAAACAAUGCUAUUGAAAUUUUCAAAAAAAUUAUGAUUAAAAAUACAAAUUUUGUUAAAAAGAUAAAAAAAUGAUAUUUUAUAAUUUAAUAAAAUGAUGUUUUUAAGAUAAAAAAUGGUUUUUGUUAAAAAUAUAAAAAAAUAUUUUUCAAAAUUUAUGUUAAAAAUAUAAAAAAAUAUUUUUCAAAAUUUAUCAAAAAUUACGUUUUUAAGAUAAAAAAUAUAAUUUUUGUUAAAAAAAUGAUUGUUUAUAAGAUAAAAAUAGUUUUUGUUAAAAAUAUAAAAAAUAUUUUUAAAAAUUUAAUAAAAAUUAUAUUUUUAAGAUAAAAAAUAUAAUAUUUGUUUUAAAAAUAUUUUUAAGAUAAAAAUGAAGUUUUUGUUUAAAAUAUAAAAAAAUAUUUUAUAAAAUUUAAUAAAGAUGACAUUUUUUAAAUAAAAAUAUAAUUUUUAUUGAAAAGAUAAUUUUUAAGAUAAAAAAUACAAUUUUUGUUAAAAAUAUAAAAAAAUAUUUUUUAAAUUUAAUAAAAAUGAUGUUUUUAAAAUAAAAAAUAUAAUCUUUGUUAAAAAGAUGACUUUUUUAAGAGAAAAUAUAAUUUUUGUUAAAAAAUAAAAAAAUAAAAUAUUUUUAUUUUGCAUAAAAAUAAUCAUAAAAAUUCAAGUUAUAAGAUUAUAUUUGUUAAAAAUAUAAAAAAAUUAUUUUUUAAAAUUAUUUAGUUUUAAUAAAGAUAAUGUAUUAUUCAUAUGUUAAUAUUAUAAUUAUAAUGUAUUAUAAAAAAUAAUAUAAUAAAAUAUUUUAUUAAAUAAUUUUACAUUUCUAUGAAUUAAAUAUAAAAAUUUUAUAUUUUUUAAAUCAACCAAAUUUAGAUAUUUUUCUCCAAUAUUACUUUCUUUCUAAAUUAACUUCUUUUUUUUUUUUCAAAAUCUAAGAAUUGCAAAUCAAACACUCCGGAUAUUGGUUUUUUUGUUUAAUAAUCAAGUAGGCCUUUGGCCCUUCGGCUCUUUCGUUCUACUAAAACUAGUUUGAAGCCUCCAACUUCUCCUAUAAAUAAUUACUUGAUGGAGUAGUUUUUGUCAGAGAAGAGCUCAGAGAUAGGCUAGCUUUGUCUGGGUGGUGGUGUCAAUAUUAUUGCAGCAGCAAAGCCUUGCCAAGAUGUAGCCUUUAUCUGCAUUUGCACCUGCACCUUCUUGUUUUUAUUUGGUUCAGCUUCAGAAACCAAAGCAUGGCAGAUGUGUUUGUGGUAGUGGAGGAAAAUAGGAGUAGCAACAACGCAAAGAGGUGCAGGUUCAGGUGCAGGUGAAUGCCAUUUUGGCUUCUGUUUUUCAGACACAUCAUAUAGUUAUCCAUAUCACUUCCAUCCUUCCUUCUAAUAACCAUGGUAACUAGCUUCAGCUUCUGAUAUUAUUGUUUCCUGUUACUUUUUUUUUAAUUCCUUUGGUUUCUAGUGUGUGAUUCUAAGAGAGGGCCAAAAGGCCUUUUAGUUUUCAGGUAUUCUUUGGAUAAAGAUCCCCAGUAGCCAUCGAUGUAUACAACCAGCUAGCUAGGAUCCGAGCUGUGCUGAUGAAGCUUUGAAGAGGUUCAAUUAACUCAUCUUUAGGGCUUCUCAAGGUAACGAGAAUAUAUAUGUUCUCUCUUUGAAUAUAUGUGCUUCUUUCCUUAAUUUCCAGGACACGCAUCUGUUGCUUUGAUUUUAUUGGAGAAUAUAUUGAGGAAUAAAAGCUUGAUUUCCUGAACAUAAGAGGGUGACUUAAGAGUAGGAUCAAAUUUAACUGAUUUCUUAAGUUUUUUUAUUUUAAUUGGGUAUUUCCUUCUCUCUCUUUCUCUUUUUCCCCAGCUUUUCCUCUCGAUUGAUCAGUCUUUUUGUUGGGUAAAAUAUCUUGUAUUCAGAAUUAUUUGAUCAGUCUUUUUCUAUAGCCUCAUAUAAUUCAUAAACCUCCGAAAGGGACAUACUUAAAUGUAUUGCAUGGGGUUUGGGAUUUAGUAUUAUUCCUUGGGGGAAAUUAAACCAUCAAAUGCACACCGAUCUUGUCUGCAAUCGGUUCACCAAUUUAGCUUGGUAACGACAGCAAUAUUUAAGCGUGGUGUAAAUGAUUUUGUUUCUUCUUUUGUGGAGAGUGGAAAGCUGUGGAUCUACCUGUGGUGCAAAGUCAAGAACCCUAGAUCACCAUAACCAACGUUGUGAUCAAGAUGGAUCGAAUUCAAUCAAGCUAUAUAUAUAUAUAUAUAUAUAUAUAUAUAUCUUUGAAAUUUUACUAAAAACGCACCCAAUUAUACGAUAAGCUGAAUAAACAUGUCUUUGUGUAGUACUAAAUUAACCGCAGGUAAGAUUGAAAAGGUAUAUGAAGCCUGGUUCUGCAAAAGCGGCCAAAUUUUUUUCCUGGUAAGCUCCUUCACUAAACAUACAGGCCUCAAAUUCACUGUAGGUAUUACUUUUCAGAUAACAACUAAUAAACUUUUGUCUGAGAGAUGUGGCUUUCUGUUGUAAGCUUGUAGCAAGAUUUUGACUAUGCUAAUAGGAUCUUAUUAAUAAGAUUGGUGUUUGCAAACAAGAAAGAUUGCUAUGAUUCCAAUUGCAAAAUUGAUCUUUCGGGGAAUGUUUUGCUUUGGAGAUAAUUACGUACUUCUAUAUUAAUUAGUAUUUACUGUCUCAUUAACUCUCAAAGUUUCAGUUAUGAUCAUUUCGUGUCACUAUUGGCACUCUUCUUAGUUCUCACUUCUUAUGAACAUUGUGAGUAAAUCGCAGCAGAUCAUUCAAGCAUUCACAUAGAUGAGAGUUAUAUCAAGGUACUACUUUCUGUAUCUCAAUUAUUAAAAUUUUUAUGGGUCAUAUUUUGAGUACUUAUAUAUUAUAAGAGUAUGUGAAAUAAGUGUAUGUAUUAUUUUCUUUUCAUUUAUCAUAUUUUAUUCGUUUUGGCAUUUUGUUUAUUAAUUAGAAAUGGAUUAAAGAUUUGUAGCAGUUAGAUACGGAUUCAAGAUUUGUGUUUAGCCGGGGGGGGGGCAAUUAAUAUAAAUAAUAUUAAAUAUAGAAAUAUACAAAUAUAAAUUAACUCAAAUGCAUAAAAAUUUAUUUUGUUUUUUUUUUUUUUUGUUGCAAAGGAGGGCAAGUGCCCUUACAAGGGGGGGAGGGGGGAUGGCGGGUUGAACCCAUGCCUAUAUGACUUUCAACUCGUCUUUUAAUCACUAGGCUAAGAAGAGAAAGUCUAUUUUAUUUAUACACAAAGAUAACACAUUAUAAUUAUUUUUUAUGGGUUUCUUAGUGCAAAAAUAAACUUUUCAAAUAUUAUCUCUUUCAUUAGCAUGAUGGUCUAAAAUCUUUUUUCAUAACUUUGGAUCUGAUGGAAAACAUCUAGGUAAAAUUAAACAUGAAUUUGAUUUAUAAAAUGUUGUAUUUCACUAUUAUUGAUUUCGAAUAAUUCUUUCAAAAAUGACUUUCUCUUAAUACGAUAUUUCUCCUUAACUAAUUAAAUCAGAUAAUUUAGUUUAUAUAAUUUCUAAGAAAUAAGAAGAUAAUUUUGUAGUUUAUAUUAGAUAUUGAAAUGUAAUUAUGCAAACAAAAUCAACAUGCAUAUUUAUUAUGUAUUUUGAAUUUUAAUGAAAGAAUAUAAUUUUAUAUAUAAAAAAAUUUCAUAAAAGUUAAAUUAUUUCAUUGAUCAAUUUAAGAAAGUACAACAUUCUUCGAUUUUAAUCCACUUAUAAUAUAAAUAUAAAUAUAAAUAUAAACAAAAUCACAAAUUAAGCCCAAAUCAAAUUAUUUUGCCAAUAAAAAAAAAUUAAAUAGUAAACAUGUAUUCUAUCACAUAAACAAAUUAUAAUAAAUACAAAGAAAAAAUUCAAAAAAUAAAAAGUAAUUACUUAAAUAUAUUGAUGGAAGGAAAAAAAUGUUUACUCCUUAAUUUGUUUUUUUGGUUUAUUAGCUUAUCUUUGUCUUCUUGUUAUUUCUUUACUUUUAUUUUCUAUCCACUAUAAAUUUUAUGGAUUUGGACGAAAGAAAAAAAUUAUAAGUGGAGUAGAAAGAAGAUCACUUUUUAUUUGACUUUUAUUGUUUUUUAAAUGAAAUGAUGGUCUUUGAAUAAAAAAUUAUUUAUAAAUGUUUAUUUUAUUUAUAUUUAUACGUGUAAUCAUAUUAUUUUUGUAAAAUAAGUCAUUUAUAUAGCAAUUAUAAUUUUGCUCUUUCAAACAUUUAUAAAAGUGUCAUAUGUAUGUACAAUUUUUUUUUUCAUUUCUAGUGGGAGCAAACUAUAAAAGAAUUAAAGUUUUUAACGAUUUUUGUAAUAAUUUCUAUUGGAUAUUAGGAUCUCAGUAGGGGUAGCUGCCCUUAUUGCCUCCAUUGUAGAUCCGUCCCCGAUAGCAAUAAUACACUUGAAACCUGCUAGUUAAUUUCUUGCAAUCGCGAUAAUUGAAAAUAAAAUCUAGCUUGAUUAAUUGGAGAAAUGAUACAAAAUUAGUUAUUAGUUUUUGCUUACUUUUUUUUUGGUUAUUUUACCACUUUAUUUUUUUUCUUCUUUUACUUUUUGAUUUUUUUUUUGUAUUCAUAUUUGUUUUUCCAAAUUUCACCCUUCUUAUUUAAUAACGCAUAACUCAUAAAUGAUGUAUAAAUGUCUUAAUUCAAAUAAGGUAAGGGACCAAAAGAUAAAAAAUAUACAAAUUAAAGCUUGGGGCUUAUAAUGUGAUUUCAUAUUUAAAAAAGGUGUCAUUAAGCUCGAAUAGAGUCACUGUGAAAAAUUAUAUUAAGGUUAGUUUAAAAAGGCUCAAAUGAUUUAUAGAGAUAGCCUAUAUAUUUUCUCAAAUCAUGUGUGUUUUAGGAUUUUGCCUUGAAAGAUGACCAAAACAAAUUUUAGAACAUGAAACACAACUUUAAAAACCAAUGAAAAAAAAUUUUCAUGCUCAUAUAACCAUACACUAGAUAAAAAAUGUAGUUUAAUGAGCAAAGUAUUAACUCACAAAUGAAAACUAAUACUAAAAAUUCACUAAACAUAAGCAUAAUUUCAUAUUGCACCCCAUAUUAUAUAUUUUGCUAAAACAAUGUUUAUUCUCAAUUUAUAACUAUCAUUGGCUUUCAUGAAAAAUUAAUCAAAAAAUGUAUAUUAAUGAUUCAAGUUACAACAACUCAAGCUCAAUUUUAAGGUAAAACUCAAGGAAAUAUGGGGAUAGUGUCAUGAUCAAAACUUCAUAUAGCUCAUUUUUCUUUGGCCAAUAUAUAUAUAUAUAUAUAUAUAUAUAUAUAGCUAGCAACUGAAAUUGAUACAGUUACAAUUUUCUAUCAAUACAACUGGCAUAGUUUUCAUUUGAGAAGUUACAAUUGUCUUGUACUUGCAUAUUUAUUUUGGUUCUUAAAUUUUAAAAAGUUUUAAUUAGAUAUCUAAUUUCAUAAAAUUGCCUUAUUUUGAUUAUUUCAUCUAUGAAAUCGUUUAAAAUGAUGGUAAGUGCUAGAUGGCUAGAUGGCGACAUGUAAAUUGCAUUAGCUAACAUUUUACACGACAAACGAAGAGAUCAAAAUAAAAUUUAGCUCAAAGUUUAUAGAGUAAUAUUAUCUCCAAUUUUUUUAUAUUUCAAAUAUAUUUUGUUUUUAAUAAACUAUACUUUAAAAUUAAAAAUACGUCAAUUUUCAAAAUCUUUUUGAAGAAAAUUUUCUUUCAUUUUAAAAAAUUAAGUAAUUUUUUUUAUUAAAAACUAAAUAAAAAAUCUGGUAUCAUUUUAAAAUAUUAAGUCAAUUUUCAUAUAAUUUUAAAAAAUCAAUUUAUUAAUCUAUUCAUACAUUUUUUUACUAAAAAUUUUAUUUUAAAAUUAUUAUUUAUUAAAAUUUUAUAUUUAUAAAUAAUAAAAAAUAGACAAUUUAAAUGGUCCUUAUCACCUUUAGUCUGAUAAGGGGAAGAAAUGGAGUUAUUGAAAUAAUAUUUUUAUUUUGUAUAAAUAUAAAUUUUUAAUAGAAAAUAUAUUCAAAAUAUAUUUUUGAUAAAAAAAAAAAGAUUUUUGUAUAGAUUAAUAAAUUUAUUUUUUAAAAUAAUAGGAAAUUAUUUAUUUAAUAUUUUAAAAUAAUAUGUAAUUUUUUAAAUUGAUAUGGAAUUUUUUAAAAAGAUUUUGAAUUUUUAACUUAAUUAUAUAUUUUUAAAGUUUUUUUUCUAUUAAAAAUAUUAUUUUACCAAUAAAUCAUAUCAUAAUAAAAAAUCAAAAAUUAUUUUAAAUUGUAACAUUUAUAAAAUGUUUUAAAUAUAAAAAUAAAUUUCCAUUCAAUUAUUUUGUUUUUAAUUUAUCCUAUUUUCUUUUUAUAAAAUAUAUUUGAAAAAAGAAAAUAGGGAAAAGGUAUUUAAUAUUUUUAGAUGAAAAUAUAUUUCUAUGGUAGAAAAUAAUAUUUUCUAUUAUUAUAAAUAAGUAAAAUAAUAUAUUUCAUGCAAAAUAGGUUUUUUAAUUUUAAGUUUGAAAAUCUAUUUUCUAUGAAAAACAAAAUUAUAUUUAACUAAUAAAUUAUAUACAAUUAAAAAUAUAAAAUAUUAUUUAAAUUUAAUAUUUUAUAAAAUAUAUCUAAAAUAUAAAAAAUUGAGAUAAUUGCAUCAUUUAUUCCAAAAUUUUAAAUGAAAUUUUAUUUUAAUCUCUCUCUGUCACACAUAAGAUGCCAAAUGAGAUCAUUCAUGUGGUGUUAACACACUUUAAUGGUUUUAUUGAUGAAAUGACCAAAAUAUGAUAAAUUUGUACAUUAUAGAUCCAAUUGGAAAUCAAAAUAGAAUUUUAACUCAAAAUUUAGGGACCAUAAAUGCUAUUAAUCGAUAUAUAUGUGCUCUUUCUUUUUAGAGAAAUGUUCGUUACUCAAGUCUCACUUGGUUUGAAAUAACAUCAUUUAAUCUAUAUAAAGUGUAAACUCCAAAAAAUAUUGAAAUUGAUUGACUUAAAUAUGUUUAUAAAAUUUUAAGUUAACAAAUUUAUUUAUAAAUAUAUAAACUUAUAUUAAUUUAUUUAAAUUUAAUUUAAAUAAACUAAAAAUAAAAAUAAAGUCUAUGUGAGAACUAAAAAUAAAAAUAAAGUCUAUGUGAGAUUAAACUACUACAAAUUUUAAAACUUUAAAAUUUUAAUUCAAAAAGUUUAAAAUUAUUUACUAAAAUACCCGUAGUAGAUUUUUUAUAAAAUUUAAUUUAAAUGAUUUUUUUAUUAUUCGACUCAUUUUUACAAAUAGAUUCAAAAAAUAUUAAAAGUGAUUAAUUUAGUUACCUUUAAUAAAAUUUUAAUUUUAAAAAUGUUAAAAAUAAUUGAUUAAAAUACCAUUAGUAAAAUUUUUUAUAAAUUUUAAUUUAAAUGAAUUUUCGUUUUUCUUAUUAAACUUUUUUUUUUUUUUAUAAUUAGACUCAUAUUAAGACACAAAAUAUGAUUCACAUUAAAUAAAAAUAUAAAUAGAAUGAGAUCAAAACUCAGUAUUGUGCAUAGGAAUAAGAUAAUUAUGUGGAGUUUGCUUUUUAAUUGCUGUAAAAACGAUUGCACAUCUACUUUAUGUUGAUAAAUAAUUCAUUAAAGUUAAUCAAAAUUAAGUCAUUGAAGCAUUUUUUUUUUAAUUUAUGGCCUUUUAAUUGAUUUGCUAACUGUGUGUGUUAAUGAUUUUAUGUUGCAUGUUUUACAAGUUGAUCAUUUUAUAUUUGAUAACAUAAUUAAAUCUUUUUAGUUUUUUGAAAUAAUUCUUUAAUAUAUAUAUAUAUCAUUCUUUUAAUUUGGUGUGAUCUUUAUAAUUAAUUUCUUUUUGUAUUUUUUCUUUUAGAAUUUUAUAAUUGUUAUUUUCAUAAAUAAAAACUAAUAUCAAAUUAAAUGAAAAUCAAUUGCACACCUUUCACUAACAAUUAGCAUUAUAUGAUUUAUUGAACACCUUGAAAUUUGAACACUUCAAUUGCACUUCUCUUAUAGAAUUAGAUGAUUAGGAUGUAGUGGAGCUAUUGGUAACUUAAGACCAAAUUACCAUAAAAACUGCUCACCUUGACUAAAUUUUAUCUCAAAAUUAUUUAAUCUUUCUUAGUGAUAUUAAAUUACUCUUUUUUUGUCAUAUAGACCUGAUUGAACCACUUAAUGUGAAUUAUUUUAAGUGGAGAAUUAUCAAUUGAAGUAAAUUUAAUUGUUUUUUGUGAAUUCUUUCAAAAUAUGACAAUUAUUGGAACCAUUUUUUGAAUAUGUUUAUACCAAGUUACUUUUAUUUCAUUCAUAAAAAUUUGUGUUGUUAAUGUUAAAAAUGAAAUCAUUAUAAAUUGUAUUGGCAUUAUAUGAUAAGGCUGAUAUUCUAAAAGUUGGAAUUGUUUUUAGAAAAAAAAAAUACCAAGAUUAGAAAUUUAUUUUAUUUUAAUUUUUAAAUUAUGUAUUUUAUAUAAUAAAAAAUUUCAAAUAAAAGAAAAUUUAAGUUUUCAAUUGUUAGAAUGUAUAAUUAUAUUCAAUCGAUAGAAGUACCAAUGAAAGAUUAUCACAAGUAAAAAAUGAGAUAAAAGAUUGAUUGAUCAUAGAUAACUUUUAUCUUUUUCAUGUGACAAAAAGAAAAUUAAUGCUAUAUGAGGUUUUGAUGGAAAUAUAUAGAUGUAUUGAUUUCAAAUUUCUUUAGGAUUAACAUGUAACUCUUUUAUUAGGAGAAAUAUUGUAUAUCAAUUCAUUUUCUUCAUUACAUAAGUUAAAAAAUAUUCACGUUGUAUAAAAAUAGCUUUAUCUUUUUCAUGUGACAAAUAAGGUUAAUGUUAUAUGAUGUUUCAAUGAAAGUAUAUAAAUGUAUUGAUUUCAAAUUUUUUUACUAUCAACAUAGAACUAUUUUAUUGGGAGAAACAUUAUAUAUCCUUCAUUUUUUCCAUUAUAUAAGUUAAAAAUAUUCACUAUUGUAUUAAAAAUUUUAAAGUAACCAUAUUAGCUAAUAUUUGUUCAAAAGCAUUGAAAUUUAUCUUAUGAAUUAUCACUUUUACAUUAAUGUAAAAAUAUUAGGCUAAAUUCUACAUUUAGGAGCUAACGUUUUAGUCAAAUCUCAAUUAAGGAUAUAAUGUUUAAUUUGAUCCAAUUCAAGGUCUAAUGUUUUCAAAAUUGCUCAAAGAAUGACUUUUGGGGGAAGCAAAUUACAGUCCCAUUUAAUAAUGUGAUAUUAAACGAAAUUAAAAUUUUCAUUUUGAGAGAUUAGGAUAAACUUACAAUGAAUAUAUUUAAUAAAAAAAAUUAGUAAAAAAAUUCAAAAUUUGAAUGUAGUAAUAAUAUUAUUAUAUAAAAAAAAUUAUUUUAUAUUAGAAUUGAAUUGACUCUUUGCUAUGAUAAUCUAUUAUUAGAUAUAUGAUGGUGUAAAUUUUAUCAAUGAUUAUUAAAAUUAUAUCAUAAGUUCUCAAAAUCAUAUGAAAGUCUAACAAAAUUACACCAAGAGAUUAUCAAAAUUGUAGCAAUGUUUACAAAAAUUAUAUUAUAAGCUAUCAAACUAAUAUCGAAAUUUACCAAAAUUUUAUCAAAAGGCAUCAAACUUUUAUAAAAUGUUAUUAAACUUUUAACAAGAUCAUAUAAAAAUUAUCAAAUUUUAUUUAUAUUAUAUCAAAAUUAAAAUUAAAUUGUUAGUAUUUAUAAUAAUUAUUAUAGUAUCUGAAAAAAUUAUUUAUUGAAUUGAAUUUUUAACGCAUCACACGUGUAAAAAACUAAUAUAUAUAUAUAUAUAUAUAUUAUGAGAAGGAUCCAUUUAUACUUUUUUCGUAAAUCAAAUUUAAAUUCAUGACUCAUUUGAAUUAAAAUAAUAUUUUUAAAUUUAAUAAUUUUGAUCCAUAUAUAAAAAAAUAAAAAUUACACUAAUAUAAAUGGGUACUUAUUAUAUAUAGUCUCCUUUGAAAUUUGUCAAAGGCUACUUGGGAAACAAAGUGACCAUAUUUAGAACUGAAAUUUCGUAGUGAAACAUGCUUGUAGUCAAUAAGGAAAAAAAAAACCCUUAAUUUAUGAUUAUGAUUGAUAUUCAAUCAAGCAAAGGUAACGAUAGAAUUGGAAAAAAAAGAAACAAUCACAAAACAUAAAGUAAAUUAAUUACACUGCAGUUUUGUCCUCAAAAUUUUUCUGAAUUUUCAUUUGCAUCAUUGACCUUUUAAUCAUAUUAUGAUUACAUAUUAGGUCUCAAUACAAAAGCAUAAAUUUCUGAAAAAAAUGACAAGAAAACACCAUUAGACGACUAGAAAAGAAGCAAACGGGGGCUAUGUAUCAUGUUACCUUCUAUGGGGUUCAUGUAACAAGUAAAUUUAUUGGUGGGUCAAAAAAACUAAUCCAAGGUCCGCUCCGUUCGUUUCCAUUCUCCUUCCAUCUUAUGAACUCUUCUACCUUUCACCUGCAAGAAGCUAAACAACUAAUCCCAGGUCACCCUUCUGCAUUCAUAGUCAAAAACUGAACUCCUAAGUCCUUUCAAAGAUGUAAUAUUCUCUCUUUCUUUGUCACAGUUAUGUUCUUCAUUGAGUUUCCAAAUCUUUCAUAUUUUCUAUCGGUAUAUAUACCUAAUAUUUAAACACUUUGAAGUGCAUGCUUGUGACCUUGAUUUUUUUUUGGUUCUUUUGAGGAUGAAAUUCUUGUUACGUUUUGAUGGGGACAAGGCGGUUGGCACCAUCCAGCUUUAGUUUUACCGAUCAAGUUUUCUAUGGGUAUUUUCAUAUGCAACUUAGAAAGACUUUGCAGGAAUGGCAGUUUGAAACACAAUUAAGAAAAUCUGACUUUAGGCGGUUUGACGUAUUCUGGUAUCACUCUUGGUAGUCAAACCCAUAAAAUACUUCUUGGUUAUCACUUAUCAUCUAGCAAUGGAGCCUUCUGUCCCUCCAUGAGACCGGGCGAUUGGGCUGUGUUUUGCCAUCUCAUGUACAUGUUAACCUGUUGCAUUGAAGGAGUUUAAUGCUUGAUUGAUUAAGAUUGUAAAUUUAAUCCAAAUUCUCACCCCAAACCACUCUAGCCAGAACAUGCAGAUGAUAAUCAUAAAGUCACAAAUUGUGGUGAUAAUUUAGCAACAAUCAGUUGUUGUUCAUUGUAAUUUUACGACAAUAAGAUUGUUGUAAAAAUAUAUAAAGGCAUGUUUAUCUUAACCACUAGUUUGAAUUCCUGUUAUGUGAAAAACAGAAUCAUAGAAUUUCACAUUUUCGAUCGUACUUUCUCUAUAAGUUCUCGCCUAAGGAUUUUCCCAGAAGCUGACUUUGGGACACUGCUUAUGAAUGUCACCCUCCUUAAUCUUUUGAAAGGAGCCACCUGGAAGGGGAAAAACACAUUCAAUUUUAUAUGCACCCAUUAACAAUCAGAAAUGAGAAGAUAAGAGCUCACUUGAGUCAAGUUGAGAUAUCUAACUUAAAAAAGGCUAUCUUACCUGUUUAGCAAUAAAAUUUUGAACAUCUUCUUCAGUGAGCGAACUGUUGGGUGAGCGAACAACGUAUGCAACUGGGACCUCACCAGCUUCAGCAUCAGGAUAUCUGUAGAGUGGAAAUGUCUAACUCUCGAUAUUGUCUUUACAAAUCACAAGGCAGAACUCCAUAUAGAUAUUUUGCAGAUUUAAAUGAUCCAAACAGUUAAAAUUUAUAGGUACAAUGCAACUUACGGAAUGACAACAGCAUCCAAUAUUUCAGGGUGAGAUAAAAGUAGUCCUUCAAGCUCUGCUGGCGCAACCUGGUGAGUGUUUAUGAAGCCAUUAAAUCAUGCACGUUAACUUUGGAACCACCAGAAAGGGUCAUAAAUAAUUAAAACCAGAACACUACAGCAAAGAAACCAUCUAUACCAUGAAAAAUUCAAUGUAAAACAUGUUACAGAUAGCAAGUUUGCAACCCUGGGGACAUCGUAGUAAGUUUUCAAAGUUAAGACAUAUUGAAUGAAUGACCAAUAAUUGUUAAAUAUUUGGACGAGCAUUCAACCUAAAACUUAUUGGCAAGAGUUGGGGAGACCCUUGUAAGUAUGAGCACAAGAUGCCCAAAUUCUUAACUGAUGUAAGAUUUUUAUUAUCAGCACUUUAAUAAUAACAUUGUUUCAUGAUUUACAAAUAUCAGAGAGGAGAUUCCAUCUCUGUACAUCAACAACAUUAUCAAUACUGUAAAAUAUAAUUUUUUUUUUUUUUUAAAGAGAGAACCUCCUAGUUGAGUAGUAUGAAAGCAUAGGCCAAAGAUAAACAUAUAGCAACAAUUAGGUGAAUCAAUUGUAUUCUAAGAAAUACUGCUGAGGAAGAUACAUUAACUAGGGAAUACUAUAAAGAAAAAGUUCAUCAGUUAUUUUUCUAAUACAUAUUUAAAAUUGUUCCCAAAGGAAUAACUGAAACUAUUUGUGAGAAAACACUUAUUUACAGAUGAUUGUAAUCUUGUAAUCUGUAUAUUUAUAUUUGUAUCCUUAAAAUUAAGGACAAAAAUUAGGAUAGACAAUCCCUUAAUUAUAGGAUCAGUUUUUAGGAAGAUUUAGUUUCCUAGUUUACAGUUAGUUGUGUAUAAACUUAAAGUGUUUGUAUAAUUCUUCAUGCGCAGUUUUUCAAUAUACAUUCAGUUUUACUCUUAAUUUUUCACACAGUUUUAUUUCUUAAUUUUUUCACAUGAUAUUAGAGCUUUAGGCUCUUCUUGUGAAGCAAAAUUUUCAACCUUCAUUGUUGACUUUUAUUUUAAGCAUUCAUUGUUGAACCAUGUUACACCCUUCAUAGUUAUUUUCUUUUUCCCUUUUUUAACCUUCAUUGCAAAGAGUUACUUUUGGUUAUAUCUUAAUACUUGUUUCAAUUCAAAAAAAGAUAUCACUACCACCCAAUUUGAGGAAGUGUCAAUUGAAAAAAUCACCUAAAUAUUAUAGAUAUCUCGAAAACAAGAAGAGUUGGACAUAGAAGAGAUUGAAAAGCUAAGCCUAUUGAAAACCCUUAAAAAGCCUACUACGGUAUGUUCCUUGGGUAAGAGAUCUUAGUUCAAGUAAAGCUUCUGAUUCUCAUGGAUUAAAUGUCUCGAUUAAGCCUGUUACGAGUUUUUAGGUCAUUCACUUAAGAGCCAUAAACCAUAUGACACAUUCUUCACAGAAGUUUAAUACAUAUACCCAGUGUUCUAGUAAUAAAAAAAUUGUUGUUGCAGAUGAUUCACUUACUACAGUGACAGGAUUAAGAGAUGUUCAAAUUAAUCUCUUAUUUGUUCUUAAAAAUGUUUAUGUUCAUAGAUUGUCUACUAAUCUAAUAUCUAUAUAAAAACUUACCAAAAAUAUGAACUGCAAAGUGACUUUUUAUGUUGCUAGAUUAUCUACUAAUCUGAUAUCUAUACAAAAAUUUACUAGAGAUAUGAACUGCAAAGUGACUUUUUAUCUAUUUUAUUGUGAAUUUAAGGACCAAAGUUUUGAGAAGAGGAUUGGACUUGCUAAGGAGAAGAAUGGAUUAUACUAUUUUGAGACACCAAACAACGCAAGUAAUAUCAACAAUAAUUUACCUUUGUCAUUUUUUUUAAAAAUCUUCCAAUAAAGACAAUCUGGCUUUAUCAUUUUUGUCUUGGAUAUCUUUCGUUUGAACUUUGAAAAAUAUGUUUCCUUUUUUGUUUAAAGGAUUAGAUUUCAAAAAUUUUCAUUGUGAUGUUUGUGAACUUACAAAGCACAGACGUGUCUUUUUCAAUUAGCAAUAAAAGAAGUUUUACUCCUUUUUACUUGAUUCAUAGUGACAUGUGAGGUUCCUCUACAAUUCUUAAUAUUUCAGGUGCAAGAUGAUUUAUUUCUUUCAUAGAUGAUGUACUUGGCUCUCGUGGAUAUUUUUACUGAAAUCCAAAUCAAAUGUGAAUAGUAUGUUUUCAAGCUUCCAAAACAUGUUUCAGAAUCAAUUUGGAGUGAAAAUCAAGAGAUUUAGGUCUGAUAAUGCAAGAGAUUAUUUUAACUAGAGUUUAUCUACUUAUUUUCAAAAGGAGGGAAUUAUUCAUGACUCAUCUUGUGUUAAACUCCACAGCAGAAUGAAAUGACAGAGAGGAAAAAUAAUCAUUUAUUAGCCACAAUUCGAGCUUUAUUUUUUCAAGCAAACAUACCAAAAUCCUAUUAGAAGCUGUUUUUACCACCACACAUAUUAUAAAUAAAUUACCUUCAAGUGUUUUGAGAUUUAAAACUCUUAUGAAACUACUCUCACAAUUCUAUCCCAAUUUUAAUACCACAAACAACCUCACACCUAGGAUAUUUGGUUGUACAUCAUUUGUUCAUAUUUACAGUCAUAAUAAGAGAAAUUGGAUCCUAGAGCAAUUAAGUGCAUUUUUGUGGGAUAUUCAUCAACUCAGAAAAGGUAUAAGUGUUAUUAUCCUCCUAUCAAAAAAUUUUGCGUCUACAGAUGUCACUUUUGAAGAAAGUAAACUAUUUUUUAUUCAACCUUAUUUUCAGAGGCAAACUUCAUUCAUGGAAGAUAAAUAUAAAGACUUCUUUUUUAUGGAUUUGUCUUUUUCUUCAACAUUUUCACCCAUUAAUCUUUUUGAAUCGAAAUAUGUUUCUUCUAAGUUCAAGUCAAAACAUUGAAUUUGAGUCUGAACCCAUUCCAAACACAGAAGAUGUGACAAAAAAUAAUAUUGUUCUUGAUUCUAUGAAAGAAUUACAGGUGUACUCAAAAAUGAAAGUUUUAGAUCCUGAACCAAUGCCAGUCCAAGAACCUGAUCUUAACACUAAAAAUAAAGUAACUACAGUCUUUGACUCUGUUUUUCAAAAUGAUCAUGAAUCUCUUAAAACUACAACUAAUGAUUAUGAUCAACCUAUUACCGUUAGGAAAGGAACCAAAAAUAUACUAAGCAUCCACUAUACCUAAUCUCUAAUUUUGUGUCAUUUGAAAAACUUUUCAUCCCACAAAAAUUUUCUUGUGAGCGUAAAAAAUAUUUAUGUUCCAACUACAUUAUCCGAGGUAUUAUCUAGUGAGAAAUGAAGGUAAGCAUGAAAAUAAAAAUAGAGGCCUUAAAGAAAAUAAGACAUGGGAACUCGUAGAAUUGCCUAAAGGAAAAAAUCUAGUUUGAUGUAAAUGAGUUUUCACUGUAAAAUACAAGAUGGAUGGUAUUGUUGAAAGGUAUAAAGCCAAGUUAGUGACUAAGGGCUACACUCAAACUUAUGAAGUGAAUUAUCAGAAAACUUUUGCUCCAAUUGUCGAGAUGAAUACAGUUAAAAUUUUGUUAUCAUUGGCUGCAAAUUACAAUUGACAGCUUCAAUAAUUUGAUAUAAAGAAUGCUUUUCUACAUGGUGAUUUGGAAGAAAAAAUAUAUAUAAAGGUUCUACCGGGAUUUGGAGGUCAUUUAGAAGCAAACAAAGUAUGCAAGCUAAAAAAUACUUUAUAUGACCUUAAACAAUCUCUUAGGGUUUGAUUCGAGAGAUUUACCAAAGUAAUACUAGCAAUGGAAUAUAAGCAGAGUCAAAGAGAUCACACAUUGUUUAUCAAGCACUCUGAUUUAGAGAGAGUCAUAGUUCUAUUAGUGUAUGUUAAUGAUAUAAUUGUAAUUGGAUAUGAUGAAAAAGAGAAAGAAUCUCUAAAAUAGUGUUUGGCUAGAGAAUUUGAGAUAAAAGAGCUAAGGAGAUUGAACUACUUCCUAAGAAUUGAAGUAGCUCACUCACGGCAUGAUAUUUUUAUUUCACAACAAAAAUAUAUAAGCGAUCUUUUGAAGGAAACUAGAAAGUUUGCAUGUAAACUUGCAAAUACCCUUAUAGAUCUUAAUCAUAAACUUGGAGAAGCUAAUGAAAAUGCUGUUGUAAAUAGAGAGAUGUGCCAAAGAUUAGUUGAAAGACUCAUUUAUUUCUCACAUACUAGACCCGAUAUAGCAUAUGUUACGAGUGUGAUAAGUCAAUUUAUGUAUAGUCCUAAAGAAGUGCACCUACAAGCUGUCUACUUCAGUAACUGAUAAAAGAUUCACCUCAGGCUACUACACUUUCCUAGCUGAUAAUCUUGUGACUUGAAAAAGUAAAAAACAGAAUGUGAUGGCAAGAUCAAGUGCUGAAACAGAAUUCAGAGCAAUGGCUUAAGGAAUUUAUGAACUACUAUGGUUAAAGAUUAUUCUAGAAGCCUUGAAGAUCAAGUUGGAUGGACUAAUGAGAUUCUACUGUGAUAACAAGUCUACAAAAAGCAUUACGCACAAUCCUAAGCAACAUGACAGAACAAAACACAUUGAAAUAGACAGGCAUUUCAUAAAAGAGUAACUAGACAGUGAGUUGAUUUGUAUAUCGUAUGUAUCAACCAAUGGUCAAUUUGUAGAUGUGUUAACUAAAUGUCUCAACAGUGCAACAUUUUAAGAAAUUAUUUUCAAGCUGAGAAUGAAAAACACUAUUCACCAGCUUGAGGGGAGUGUGGGAAAACACUUAUUUAUAGUUGAUUGUAAUCUUGUAAUUUGUAUAUUUAUAUUUGUAUCUCUAGAAUUAAGGGCAAAAAUUAGGAUAGACAAUUCCUCAAUUAUGGGAUCAGUUUUUAGAAAGAGUUAGUUUUCUAGUUUACCCACUAGUUAGGUCUACAUAAACCUAAGAUGCUUGUAUAAUUCUUCAUGAGCAGUUUUGCAAUAUAUAUUCAAUUUUACUCUUAAUUUUCUGCACAAUUUUAUUUUCAUAGUUUUUCCACACUAUUAUAUCUGUAUAUAUUGUUAUUCAUGAAGAUUGAGGCAUCUUUCUUUUUACUGAAACUUUUAUUUGAUACAAAAUUCAACGUAGCCAAAUGAAAUAUAUAAAAAAUGCAAUAAAAUAAGUUACCUGGAAACCUUUGCACUUAAUCAACUCCUUAAUUCUAUCUACAACAUAGAGAUUCCCAUCCUCGUCAAAGUAUCCAAGAUCUCCGGUAUGUACCCAACCCUUUCCAUCUAUUGUCUGUUUUGUUGCCUCUGGAUUGUUGAAGUAACCUGAAAAUAGUUAUUUAAAUUGUAGUGUCAGAGAAAACAGCAGAAGACACCAUGUGCUUGCGGAAUAACUUACAACCUGGAAAUAAAUGACAAAACACUUAAUUGAAAACAAAUAAGGAUUAUUAAGAAUCUUGCCGAUCUAAGUAUGAGAUGCGUAACUUGGAGUUACUAUCAUAUGAAAGAGGCUGAAUAAUUAGCAUAUACAGUGUGCAAUUGUGCAUAUCAUCAAAUUCAAAUGUAUCCAAUAAUUUGUCUUAACUAGGAUUGAAAACCUGCAAAAAUUGCCCUGAAAUCAUACUAAACAAAAAUUGAAGAAAAAUAAGUCAUUCAAUGGCCCAUGGAGAUUAAAACAGGAUAUCAAUAACAUAAUAGUUUAAGCAUGUAAUUAGAUAUGGCAAGAGCUAAUUAUAGAUCAGCAGAUCUGCAAUGUUGAGGAGUGGGAGAAGCAUCAAGUAGGGGGACAAAACCAUAAAGCUCAUCCCUAGCCCUCCCCAUCAAUUUAAGCAGAGAAGAAUGAGGGAGACCAUGGGGAUCAAAUUUUGCAGAGAAUCAAGAUCAGCAUCUGCUGAUAUUAAAUUACUAAAAAGGACAACUUCGUAGAGUAAAAUAGAAGUCAGAGCAAUAAUACGACAGGCGAAUAACUACUUGGACUGUUAGUUAUACCCAAAAAUCAAUCUUCUUUCAUUUCCUCAGAGAAAAAACAAGCAAAUACUAUUACCUUGCAUCAUAUUGGGCCCUCGAACCCAUAUUUCCCCUAAUUGAUUUGGAGGAAGGGGCUUUAGACUCUCUAUACUGACUAUUUGAGCUUCAAUGUUUGAAGCAAGCUUUCCUGUUGAACCAGUAUGUCGGACACCAACUGUGGGAUUCUCCACUGCAAUAAUGGCACAAGUUUCGGUCAUUCCAUAGCCCUGAAACCACAGAAAGCUUCAUGAAGAGAAGGCAACUUCUCUACUCCAAGCUAAUACUAAAAAUUCACAAAGCAUUAAUUGGAACAACUUCCAAAUUUCCGAUCCGACCAAAAUAUACAAAGCCAACAUCUGAACAUCAUUUUUACAAUUUCAAUCCUACUUCACAUAUACCAACAGGUUAAUGGAUGACUUGCAACAUCCAGGAGUGACGUUCAGCAUUCCUUGCUUCCCAUUAGAAUAUCGUCCAAGAGAUCAAUUUGAUUAAAGACAACCGUGAUUAACACAAUUUGGAUAUUUACUGCAAUUUUUUUUAUGUUUACACGGGACCAUAUCAGCUUGUAAUUCAGUAUAACUUUUCAAUACUUGAUAACUAAAGUACCUGCAUAACCACAGCUUGAGGAAACUUCUUUGCGCAUUCCUCCAUCAACUCCUUCCCCAGAGGAGCAGCACCAGAACCAAUUUGCCUCACUGAGGAAAGAUCAAACUUCUUAACCACACUCUGCUUAGCCAUAGCAAGCACAAUUGGAGGCACAACCCACAAAUGCGUUGCUCUAUACUUCUCUGCAUUCCUCAAAAACAUCCCAAAGUCAAACUUUGCCAUUGAGACCAAAGCAUUUCCCUUCUGCAGCUGCCCAUAUACGAUAACCGCCAACCCAAAAACAUGAAACAUAGGCAAAACACACAAGAAAACCCGGUGCAUAUCCCCAGCAAGUUCUUGAUCCACGAUCACCAUCAAAGCCGCCGCAAUGAAAUUUCUAUGUGUCAAAACAACACCCUUACUGACCCCUGUCGUGCCUGAAGAGUAUAAAAGCGUUGCUGUAUCAGUCUGCUUAACAGAAACCGUGGGAAAUUCCGUUACAUUCCCCGCUAAAUCGAGAAGAUCGUGAAAAGAUAGGAUUUUUGGCCCAUUUUUUAGAUCAUAUGGUUGUUGGUUUCGUUUAGAACCAAGCAAGAUUACAGGGAGCUUGAAAUCUUUAACUUUGUCAAUCAAUUCAGGGACAGUGACAACAAGCUUCGGAUUGGAGUCCUGGAUUUGUUUUGAGAGUUCAUUGACAGUAUAAACGGGGUUGGCAGUUGUCGCAAUGGCACCAAUUGCGGUUACAGCAAACAAACAAAGAGGGAAGUGGAUUGAAUUGGGUGCAAAGAUCAAGACUCGGUCGUUUUUGUGGAUACCCAGAUUGAGAAAAGCAUGGGAGAGCUUGAUGACGGUAGAUUUGAACUGAGAGAAAGAGAGAGUUUCAUCAGAAUCAGCAUCAAUGAGGGCUGGUUUGUCAGGGUAAGAAGAGACGUUUCUGAAGAGAAAUUGCACCAUGGAAAGAUUUGGUUCCUUGGGAAGAACUAUAGGUGGCCUUAAAGACCUGUAAAUGCCAUCUCUUCCAUACCCAGAUUUCUCCAUUAAAAGCUUUUCUUCUUCUCUUUUUGGUGAUUGUUUGAGAUAAUAAAAAAUGGAAGCUUUGAAUAUGGACGUGUGUCUGGCAGUGAGAAGGAAUAUGAUUACUUUAUGAAUAUAAAAGAUUUAGUUGAAGAAGCAAUUGCAGGUGAGGACAGGAAACAAAACGAUGACGGUAGCGAUAAGAUAUCAGGACCAAAUAAUUUUGUCCCAAUUGCAACCAAGGCAAAGAACGAGGAGUUUCUAUUAAAAAAAAUUUUUAAUUAUUUUUUUUUCAUUUUCGUUUCAUUUUUAAGAUUGGAAAUUUACAAAGCUAAAAUAUUUUUAAAAUUUUUGUAUUUAUAAAUUCCGAAUCUCUUAAAGAUUUUUAAAUUUACAUAUUCAAAAAUUUUUAAAAUUUUUCAGAUUUAUAUAUUUAAAAAUAAAAAGUUUUUUGUAAGAUUUUUUAAAAUAAUUUUUUCAUAAAUUUAAAUGUAAAUUUUUUAAUUUAUCAAAUAUAAAAAUUUGAUAUACUAUAUAACUUAUUGAAUAUAUAUUCAAUGAAUUAUAUAAUUUAUCAAAAAUAAAAAAUUUUGAAAUUAUAAUUAAAUAUUUCAUUUAAAAAUUAAAAAACUGUGAAAAUGAUGUGGCAAGAAUCUCCCGCAUGAGGAUAGAAAGAAGCUAGAUUGGCAUUGAAUGGGCAAUACAAUAAUCGUACGGCUGGAUUCUGACUCAGCAUCACCAUAUUGAUCCUUUUGCCCUCUGUAAAGCUAAUACGUAAUCAGCAAAAAAUGAUCAGCUUACUUCAAAAUGAAAAAGUCAAUAGGUGGAGAUGGAAUCCCUUAAAAUUAGGAAGUUUAUAAAGUUCGGUUUUGGGUUUUCAAGUGGCCUUCUUUUUAGGGUUGGUAUUGAGUGGGGAUGUUAAUUGUUAGGAUAUAAAUAGGGUAGAGUUUUUUUUUUUAUUUUUAUAUUAUAUUUAUUAUAGUAUUUAUAGAUAUUUUAAAUUUAUUUUUAUGUUUAUUUUUGUGAAUUUUUAAUGGGUAUGAGUAAAAAUUUAAAUUAUGAUCACAAAUAUAUUUUUGAUUGUGUUGCAUUUAUCACAAUUAGGGAUAUAACACAUAUUAUCGUAAUCAUUAUUGUUAUCACGAUUAUAAAUUUUUUUUUAUUUGUACAACUUGUUAUAAAAUAUAGUAAUUAUAAUUAUAAUUAUAAUUAUAAAUUUUUUUCAUGAUUUUUAAAGUAAUUAAUGACACAUUAUCUUAUUUUAUUUAUAUAACAAAAUUAUUUACAAUUUUUUAAUAUUAUAGUAAACUAUUCACAUUUAAAAAAUUAACAACAUGCAAAUAUUAAAACAAUAAAAUCCAAAUAAAAAUAAAAAAUUAAAUUAAUAUAUUAAUUAUUUAAUAUUUUAUUUUUUUCAUCUAAAUUAUAAUAUAAUAUACCUUUCAAAUUUACAUUAAACUCUUUCAUCUCAAAUUUUUUAGCCAAAAUUAAUUUUCAAAACUUUUCAAUUUUAACUAAUUAUUUCUUUCUAAAAUUUUACCCUUAAAUUUAUAAUAAAAAAAAAAUUGUUUGGUCAAGCAUUGAAUGCCCACCAAACUCUCCAUUACAUACAAAUAUUUCUUUCAAUUAAAAGUAUAAAAUUCCCCAAUAUCCUCCAAAUCUUUUCACUUAAACUUUUUUCAUUUUAUUCUCAACCCCUACUUUCUACCAUUCUCACAAAUUAUCUACCAGCCAUGUCAACUAACCAUUCUUCAAGCUUCCACCUUCAUUCAAUUUUCCACCCAAUCAAUGUUAUGACUCAUCUAAUUUUUUCUUCGAUCCAAUUAGCACAAUCCCAAACCUACGCCCACAGAGUGCUCAUAUAAGGGUUUUUGAGAUUUAAAGUUUCAAACAAAAUCUCUCUAAGGUCUAAAUUUUUUUAAAUCCUAUACAACACAAAUUUGCAAACAUUUAAACAGAAAAAAAAUGUAAUUUUGAGUGUUUUAUUAUUACUUGAUCUCAAUAUUUUUUUUAUUUUUGAUUUAGCCUUUUUUUUAUUGAAUUAUUGUAAAUCUAGGAUUUCUUUUUUGUGUUUGGGGUUUUACUUUGUUAAUCUUUAUUGAAAAUUUGAAAAUUUAAUACUUAAUGAUGAAAACAAAUUCUUCUUUAUUAAAUUAUGGAAAAAAAAGGAAAUAGCACUAAUUGUGUUCCGAUAUUACCGCUAUGACCUUUUUUUGUAGCUGUAAUGAAUUAUAUAAAGACAUGAAUUUUCUUCACACCCAAUAUCAAUUGAAUAGUAAUGGCGGUGGGUGUUGAUUCUGCUAAAUAAUGACCGCAAUACCGUUAUUGCAACAUUAUUUGAAUCCAUAAGUAUGAGUAAUUUUUAUACCAAUAACUUUUCAAAAAAGCUAAAAAUUAAAAUUUUUUUGCUUUUUUAUUUUUAUCUUGUAUAUUUAAGUAAAUUUUUAUAAAUAUAUAUUAAUAUAUAUUUUGUCAAUAAAGAAUAUAUUAAUUUUAAUUUAUAUAAGAUAAUAAUUUAUAUUAUUUAAUAAAAAUUUUAUAUAUUAAAAAUAUAUAAAUAUAUAUGUAAAGUACAUGUACGAGAUUAGUGCUAUAUUACCUAUCUUCAUCCUUAUACCAAAUAAAAAAAAUUAAAAUCAUAUCCAUCCACAUCUUCUGUAUUUAUAAUGUAAUACCCAUUUUCAUAUUUAUUUAGAUAAAAAAUCAAAAUUUUCAUUGGAUAUAUAUAAGAUUGACACCUUAGUAUUGAGAUUUUUUUUUUUUUUUUUUGUAUAACUGAGAUUUCAGUUAUAUGGGUUUCAGGAUAAAAGAAAUUAAAAGAGAUAAAAAUGAAAGGAAAAGAAAUUUAAUCCAAAAAGUUAAAAUAAUAAAAAAAUUCAUGAAUUAAUCUAUUUUACUUUAAAACUUUUUUAUUUAUAUUAUAUUUAAAUAAAUUCUUAUUCUUUAAUUUUUAUUUAUAUGUGUUCUUAUUUUAUAUAAAAUAUUAAUAUAUAUUAAAAAUUUAUUUAGAUACAUAUUAAAAAUUAAGUACUUAUUUAUAUACAAAUUAAAAUUUAAAAGUUUAUUUACUUGUAAAUUAAAAGUUAAAAAAUUAUUUAGGUGUAAUGAAAGUAUAAGAAAUUAUUAGAUACAUUGUCAAUAAAAUUUUUUAAUUUCAUAAAUGAAAUUAAUAAGAUAAUACAUGUCUCAAUUUUUUAAAAAUUAAUUUUUAUUUUUUAACGUAUACACUAAGUAGUAUGUUUCACCUAUUAAAGUAAAGUUAAAAAAUUUUACUAUCAAUAUAUUUGAUAAUUUCUUUAAAAGUAUAAGUAUUUUAUCUAACUAAUGUAGCAAAAUUCAAUGAUUUUUUUUUUUUUGGUUAUUUUAGCCAAUCUAAAAUCACUUUUUUUUUUCACAUAGGAUUAAAGUUUUGAUUUUUUAAAGUUAAUCUUUUUUUUUUAAUUUGGCAAAAAUAAUACAUUAAAUGUAAACAUUUUUUCUCAAAUAAUAAUUAAAUAAUUCUUAAUAAGUAUUAUAGGCAUCCGUUUAAUGAUAUUUUAACAAAUAAAUGAAUUUUCUUAAAUUUUAAACGUUUAUUUAUUUUAAUAAUCAAUUAUCAUAUUAUAUAAUCAAAUUAUAAUUAUUAAAUAAUUAAUUAAAAAUAAGAUUAUGAUUAAAUAAUCAAAUCCACAAAUGAACUUAGGACAAUUCUUUUUGUCAUUAAACCAAAAUUUAAUCCGUAAAUUUCAAGUUUUUGUUAAAAAAUUCAAGAAAGCAAUAAUUUGAUCAAAUAGUAAAUUUUUUAUUAUUAUAACAUUUAUUCUUUUUUUUUCAUUUAAAUUUCCAUACAUAAUUUUUCAAAUCGAAUUUAAAUAUUUAUAAAAGACCAAGUACUUCCUAUCUAAGAGACUAAUAGUCUAAAGCUCCAAAACCAUUAAAAAUAUAAAAAUUCUCAUGUACUUUAUUGGAACCACAAGCAUAAUUCCAACUAUGUUUUUUUUUUUUUCCAAACGAGGACAAACAUUUGUAAAAAAAAAAAUAAUAAUGGAAUUAAAACUCACGUAUAUAUGUUUUUUUUAAAAAUUUUUUAACUAUUAAGUCAAGAGGUGAAAAAAGUUUCAAUUAUAUAUUUAUACUAUUAAUAAUGCUUUCAUUGAAUUUUAUAUCCAAGUGAAAUAACACCAAAUUAAUAAAAAAUUAUAAAAAAUAAAGAUAACAUAAUAACAAAAAAAAAGAAGGAGUAUUUCUUUCUUAUUUAUAUUUUUUAUUUUAUAUAUUAAAAAAAAUUAUUCACUCAUUCCAUAUUCUUUUUAAAGAAAAAAAAACCACCCAUUUAUCAUAUAAUAUAUGUUUUUCUCUUUCACACUCGUAGUGACGAUAAUAAACUUUGGAAUUGGUACAUAUUUUCUAAGGAUUUUUUUUAAUGAAUUGGAUAAUCAUCUUAGUACUUUGCCGCAGUCAUUGCUUAACUUUUAGCAACUCUUAAAAUUCAAAGGGAAAGAAAGUCUUGUCUUUGAUUUUUUUGUUGAUGUCAAUGUCAAAAAGGGCUUGCUUUUCAGCCUCCGCCGCCUUAUUUCGACUUUUGCUGUUUCAUUUGACUGGGAAACCUUGCCAUCACCUUCUUCACUCUCAUUUUCUUUCAUUUCAAAACCCCUUAACCCAAAGGUUUUUUCUUUUUUAAACUUUCUAAAAUAAAUUCAUUGAUCUUAUAUCAUUUCACUAAAACGUCUAAACUCUAAAAGCCCUAUCUCAAAACAUCUUCUUUUUUAGAAAUUUAAUCGAAACUUUUGGGUUUUUGUAGGAUCGAACCCAGUUUAGGUUAUAUUCAAUGGCGUCAUCAGAGUCAAAAGAAUCAGCUGCCAAUAACCCUGGGCUUCAUACUACCGCCGAUGAAGUCACCAAGGGCUACUUCAUGCAGCAAACUGUAAGUUUUCUAUGUUUCUUUGGUCUCUCUCUAUCAAUCUAUCUAUCUGUCUAUCUUUAUAUGAUUUUUAAGAAAUUUUAUGUUAAUGGUUUUUUUUUUUUUGGUUGCAGAUGUUUCGAAUUAAGGAUCCAAAAGUCAGUCUUGAUUUUUACUCUCGUGUGUUGGGCAUGUCGUAAGUUAUACUGCAGUUAUUUUUUUUUUUUUUUGGGUUUUUCUUUUAGUUUAGCAAUCUACCGUUUAUUUUUUAUAUCUAAUUUUAUUAGUUAGUUCGCUAUUUAAUGAGGAAUCAAAGGUUUUUUUUUGAAAAUAUCUCAGUGUUGUGAAAAUUGAAGUGAAUUGAAACUUUUAUUUAUCGUAGCAUUUUCGAAUUGACUCUUGUUUUUGUGCUCUAGUAGUUAAUGGAAUCUAUUAAAGCUUAAUAUGAACUACCAUUUUUGUCAUUUAUCGUUUUCAGGUUGCUUAAAAGAAUAGAUGUACCAGAAUUGAAGUUUUCUAUUUACUUUUUGGGCUAUGAGGUAAAAUCCAUAUAAUUACACUGCUACAAGUAAUCUUGUAUUAUUUAGUCUUCGCUUAUAGUGGCCUAUUGUUUCAUCUCACUUCAGCUCUUAGUUUUAGGUGUCACUGUUUUGCUAAUAAUAAUGAUGUUGAUUCUAGAUGCAUAUGUCCUUUAAUGUAGGAUGUUUCAUCAGCCCCAAGUGACCCAGUUGAUAAAACAGUUUGGACCUUUGGAAAACCAGCAACAAUAGAAUUAACACAGUAAGAAUACAUCAUUAUUUUUUAAAAAAUUUUAAUCCUCCUGGUGUGUUGAUAAAAUCAUUCUUGUGCCGUAUAGCAUGUUUAACAGUUUAAUGCUUCCUACAGUAAUUGGGGUACUGAAAGCGACCCUGACUUCAAAGGAUAUCACAAUGGGAAUUCAGAACCUCGUGGCUUCGGUAUGAAUAGAUUUGCCUCUUUUCUAAUGUUUAUUUCUUCUAACUAUUUGGUUUACAAAUUAGAGAAUGAGACAAUUUGAUGGCAUAUACCAUUCAUUUGCUAUGCCUUAGUGAAACCCAAAAUUUUUUUAUUCGGUGAUGCUGAUAGGAAAAAGAAAACUUUGUAUUAUUGGUACUAAUCUUCAUUAAAAUGCAUUGGUUUAGGUUUAUCUCUUAUGGGGACUGCCAUCCUGUGCUGUUGUUAUUGAAAUAGUGAUUUUUAUUGGUUAGGAUUAACUGAAUUUAUUCACUCAUGGACUACUUAUGAUUUGUCAACCCUACAUAGUAAGAAAAGUUUAGUUUUGUUAUUUUAGUGUCUUAUGAUUUAUGCUUCAAAUAAGCGUAGUUUAAAUUUGACCAUUUCUUUUCAAUAAACCCACGAGCUUAUCUUAACAAUUAUGCUGUAAUUGAUCAAACAGUUUCUGCUUCUAGGUGGAUUAACUUCUAAUUUCAAGUUGAUAGAACAACAGCUUGUUUGCUUUUUCCAUUCUAAAUAUGUGGAUUCUGUGUUUAAGGAGCUUUUGGGAUUUUUAGGUAUUAAUUGUCCUUUUUUCCCUUUUCAGGACAUCUUGGCAUCACAGUGGAUGAUACGAUCAAGGCAUGUGAGAGAUUUGCACGCCUUGGAGUAGAGUUUGUCAAAAAACCAGAUGAGGGUAAGCCAUCUUGUUUAGAUUAUAGAUUUAUUAAGAACAAUAUGAUGUCUCAAUGCAUAUUUUGAUUUCCAUUUAAGUUCUUGAUGUGGAUUUCUGGUAUUGAUAGCUGGUAAUUUACUAGAGAAAUUGUUACAUUGUCUUUUAA
rnacentral:lncRNA from 1 species